AACGAACGCUGGCGGCGUGGAUAAGACAUGCAAGUCGAGCGCGAAUCAUUCCGUAGCAAUACGGGAUGGUUUGAGCGGCGCAAGGGUGCGUAACACGUGGGUAAUUUGCCGUGAAGUUGGGGAUAACUCGCUGAAAGGCGAGCUAAUACCGGAUGUGGUUAUGGGGUGGCAUCACCUGAUAACUGAAGCUGGGGAUCGUAAGACCUGGCGCUUCAUGAUAAGCCCGCGGCCUAUCAGCUAGUUGGUGAGGUAACGGCUCACCAAGGCGAAGACGGGUAGCUGGUCUGAGAGGACGACCAGCCACACUGGAACUGAGACACGGUCCAGACACCUACGGGUGGCAGCAGUCGAGAAUUUUCUCAAUGGGCGCAAGCCUGAAGGAGCGACGCCGCGUGGGGGACAAGGGUUUCGAUCCGUAAACCCCUGUCAUUCGUGAACAAUGCUCACUAUUUAAAAGAUGGUGAGUUGAUAGUAACGGAAGAGGAAGGGACGGCUAA
rnacentral:rRNA from 1 species